GACGAACGCUGGCGGCGUGCCUAACACAUGCAAGUCGAGCGAGGUCCAUCCGGUGGCAACACUGGUGAAGACCUAGCGGCGAACGGGUGAGUAACACGUGAGAAACCUGCCCCGAAGACCGGGAUAACCCUCCGAAAGGAGAGCUAAUACCGGAUGCCCUCACCGGGCCGCAUGACCUGGUGAGGAAAUGGAUUCCGCUUCGGGGGGGUCUCGCGGCCUAUCAGCUUGUUGGUGAGGUAAUGGCUCACCAAGGCUUCGACGGGUAGCUGGUCUGAGAGGAUGAUCAGCCACACUGGGACUGAGACACGGCCCAGACUCCUACGGGAGGCAGCAGUGGGGAAUCUUGCGCAAUGGGCGAAAGCCUGACGCAGCAACGCCGCGUGGGGGAUGAAGGCUCUCGGGUUGUAAACCCCUUUCAGCAGGGAAGAUUAUGACGGUACCUGCAGAAGAAGCCCCGGCCAACUACGUGCCAGCCGCCGCCGUAA
rnacentral:rRNA from 1 species